rnacentral:tRNA from 1 species
UCCCUGGUGAUCUAGUGGUUAGGAUUUGGAACUUUCACUACCAUGGCCUGGGUUCAAUUCCCAGUCAGGGAA